AGAUUGAACGCUGGCGGCAGGCCUAACACAUGCAAGUCGAGCGGUAACAGGGAUUAGCUUGCUAAUCUGCUGACGAGCGGCGGACGGGUGAGUAAUGUCUGGGAAACUGCCUGAUGGAGGGGGAUAACUACUGGAAACGGUAGCUAAUACCGCAUAACGUCUUCGGACCAAAGAGGGGGACCUUCGGGCCUCUUGCCAUCAGAUGUGCCCAGAUGGGAUUAGCUAGUAGGUGAGGUAAUGGCUCACCUAGGCGACGAUCCCUAGCUGGUCUGAGAGGAUGACCAGCCACACUGGAACUGAGACACGGUCCAGACUCCUACGGGAGGCAGCAGUGGGGAAUAUUGCACAAUGGGCGCAAGCCUGAUGCAGCCAUGCCGCGUGUAUGAAGAAGGCCUUCGGGUUGUAAGUACUUUCAGCGAGGAGGAAGGCAUUGUGGUUAAUAACCGCAGUGAUUGACGUUACUCGCAGAA
rnacentral:rRNA from 1 species